GGAUGAACUCCGGCAGUUGGUGAUGGACAGGGAGGCUUGGCAUGCUGCAAUUCAUGGGGUUGCAAAGAGUCGGACACGACUGAACGACUGAACUGAACUGAGCUCCUUUUCAGGCAUGAUCCUGUAGGGGAGUUUGUCUUGCAUAACACAUGAACCAAGAUUUUCUUGAAGAUUUCAACAAAGGAUCAAGAAACUAGAGGAGUAGUUUUUUCAACUUUCGUGUAUCCCCAAACUCAGCCUCCACUGCUUCUGAGCCAGCUAUGCUCUCGGCUUUGUACUUAGGACUUGUGACCUUGUUGAUAAUGCGAGGGACCAGUGCAGACUCGGUGACCCAGACAGAAAGUGUUGUUACCCUCCCCGAGACGGCAUCUCUGACUCUGAAGUGUACUUAUCAGUCCAGCUAUUCAGUUUCUCUUUUCUGGUAUGUCCAGUACCAAAACAAAGAGCUUGAGCU
ensembl:lncRNA